AGGACGCCCCGCGACUCUAGGCGGCGGGUUUCUGGAAUCCACGCUGGACAUGGCCCGCAGCUAGACUCCCUCCCGGGCUGAGUCCACCGUGCUGCGGGUCUACACGGCCGCCAGCGUACUCCCCGCCGUCUCCACACCACGCCUGAUUGGCGAGCCGCGGGGCGACGACCUCGUCCGCGCGUCUCCUGGAGACGUGGAAAUGCAUCUUGUUCCAGUACAUCACAUUCCAGGGAGCAAAGAAUUCUUUUACAAAGCCGGGUGUCAUCAUUUUCUUAGAAGAAGAACCAUUGCAACAGGGCUCAAAGUUGACUCUGCUGGAAAGAGAAACUUGACCGAGCACUUGCCGUGCUUCAGGCAUCGUUCAAGGCAACAGGGUUAUGGUCUUGAAUAAGAGAGACAGAGUUCUCAUCUCUAGACAGACUGGCAGUAAGCCCGAAAAUAGAUCAAUACACAAUAUAAUUUCAGAUAGUGACUUUUUGCUACAAAGCCAAAAGUAAAU
rnacentral:lncRNA from 1 species